UGGUGAAUGUGUAGCUACAGGAA
rnacentral:piRNA from 1 species